rnacentral:rRNA from 1 species
UACAGAGACUGCAAGCGUUAUUCGGAUUCACUGGGCGUAAAGGGUGCGCAGGCGGUUGGAUGUGUCAGAUGUGAAAUCCCGAGGCUCAACCUCGGAACUGCGUCUGAAACUACUCGACUAGAGUACUGGAGAGGGUAACGGAAUUCACGGUGUAGCAGUGAAAUGCGUAGAUAUCGUGAGGAACACCAGAGGCGAAGGCGGUUACCUGGACAGUUACUGACGCUCAGGCACGAAAGCAUGGGGAGCAAAAGGG